rnacentral:rRNA from 1 species
AGGACGAACGCUGGCGGCGUGCUUAACACAUGCAAGUCGAGCGGUGAUCCUCCUUCGGGAGGUGAUCAGCGGCGAACGGGUGAGUAACACGUGGGCAACCCGCCCCUCACACUGGGAUAACCUCGGGAAACCGGGGCUAAUACCGGAUACGACCUCGAGCGGCAUCUCUUGAGGUGGAAAGCUCCGACGGUGAGGGAUGGGCCCGCGGCCUAUCAGCUUGUUGGUGGGGUAAUGGCCUACCAAGGCGACGACGGGUA